rnacentral:rRNA from 1 species
GUGGGGAAUAUUGGACAAUGGGCGCAAGCCUGAUCCAGCAAUGCCGCGUGGGUGAAGAAGGUCUUCGGAUCGUAAAGCCCUUUCGACAGGGACGAUGAUGACGGUACCUGUAGAAGAAGCCCCGGCUAACUUCGUGCCAGCAGCCGCGGUAAUACGAAGGGGGCUAGCGUUACUCGGAAUUACUGGGCGUAAAGGGCGCGUAGGCGGCUCUGUUAGUCAGGCGUGAAAUUCCUGGGCUUAACCUGGGGACUGCGCUUGAUACUGCAGGGCUUGAGGCCGAGAGAGCGUGAUGGAAUUCCCAGUGUAGAGGUGAAAUUCGUAGAUAUUGGUAAGACCACCGGUGGCGAAGGCGACCACCUGGCUCGGUUCUGACGCUGAGGCGCGACAGCGUGGGGAGCAAACAGGAUUAGAAACCCCAGUAGUCC